AAUAGAUACCCUGGUAGUCCACGCCGUAAACGAUGAGUGCUAAGUGUUGGGGGGUUUCCGCCCCUCAGUGCUGCAGCUAACGCAUUAAGCACUCCGCCUGGGGAGUACGGUCGCAAGACUGAAACUCAAAGGAAUUGACGGGGGCCCGCACAAGCGGUGGAGCAUGUGGUUUAAUUCGAAGCAACGCGAAGAACCUUACCAGGUCUUGACAUCCCGGUGACCACUAUGGAGACAUAGUUUCCCCUUCGGGGGCAACGGUGACAGGUGGUGCAUGGUUGUCGUCAGCUCGUGUCGUGAGAUGUUGGGUUAAGUCCCGCAACGAGCGCAACCCUUAUUCUUAGUUGCCAUCAUUCAGUUGGGCACUCUAAGGAGACUGCCGGUGAUAAACCGGAGGAAGGUGGGGAUGACGUCAAAUCAUCAUGCCCCUUAUGACCUGGGCUACACACGUGCUACAAUGGACGGUACAAACGGUUGCCAACCCGCGAGGGGGAGCUAAUCCGAUAAAACCGUUCUCAGUUCGGAUUGUAGGCCGCAACUCGCCUACA
rnacentral:rRNA from 1 species